rnacentral:lncRNA from 1 species
UUCAUUUUGUUCCUGAAAUCUUUUUAGUACUAAACUGCUUUGGAAUGAAUUUUUUUGGGGGACAACAGCAGGAUUAGGGCCAUCUUCUAGAUGCCAUCAGGUAGGUGCGCUAGCGUAGUCGUUUGUUGUAGCAUUAUAUCCCUUUUCCUCCUUUUUAAAAAAUGUUUGUAAGACGCCUGAUUUUGUAUAAGUUAGUUAUAUAAGUAGUUGAAUAAGAAUUGGUGAGACUUGGAAAAUAGAAGAGGACAAAGAAAAUGGAAAAGGAUUGCUUUGAAAUAGAAGGAAAGGAGAUAGAAGAUGUUUGAGGAAAGGAGGAGGAUUUUGUUCGCUGUAACGGAAGUUUUUUGAAUGAAAUUUGGAGCAACUGUAUUAAGAUGUUAUUGAUAUCUUGGACAUCAAGUUUCAUUUAUUUGUGUAUUAUACAAGCCUAUCUGUUGGUGGAAAUGUAAAAUGGCAGCUGGUAUAACACCUUGUAUGAAUUAUUAGGAACUUCAAAGAACUUUUGACAGAAUUUAAACUGGGAAGAAGCUCAUAAAAGACCAGUUUAGGCUGCAGUAGUACCAGGACCUUAAAUUGGCUUCCACAACACAGAUAUCUUUCAAAAAUGAUAUCUGUUCGAGUGAUAUACUGGGCGUUAACAGUUGUUAAAAAUCUGCAAAUGAGUUACUACUGUGCAUACGUUUGAGGAAUGUCAAGAAAUGUUUUGAAUGAAACGAUAGUGAAAAACUUGUCCACAAAUGUCAAUUUCAAGAUACAAUCAAUAGUACUAAGAUUGAUUGGCCUCCAUUACCAUUAUGCUAUAAAAAUGUAAGCAAUACAAAUUGGUAUUAAUGGACGUUUUGACAGCUGUUGCCAGUCCAAGUUCCAGUUUUAAUGGAAAAUCUUUAAUGGACACAGAAAAAUGCCAUUUACUGGAUUGACUUCUACACCUGUUGCCUUUUAAUAAUGGUAUACAACGGUACAAUUGCUGUUAGAAGUCAACAAGUAGUACUAGUUGCAGAUAAUAUAUUACGGUGGACAUCAAAAAGCUUUAAAUGGAAUGAAACUUGCAGGAAAAAUAAAGGAAAACCAUUUUAGACUGUAUACGUAAUAACUGUUAGAGUGGAUGCAGUCCUCCAUCAAUGUGAGGUGAACAAAUUGAUGGUAAUGGACAUUUUGACAGCUGCUGUCACAACUCAACGAACAAGUUGCAGCUUUGAAGGAAAAUUUUUGAUUGGAUACAGAAAAAUGUCAGUCGUUUCAGGAUGUAAAGUUAAUAGAACCAGGGUCGGGCUCGACAUCUGUUGCCUUUUAAUAAUGGCAUACGAUAGGACAAUUGCUAUUAGAAACCGAUAAGACAUACUAGCUGCAAAUAAUAUGUAUGGUGGUUAUAAAAGAGAUUUAAAUGGAAUGAAACACUUGUGCAGAAGAAAUCGAGGAAAACCAUUUUGAACUGCUGUUACUUAAUAGCUGUUAGAGCGGAUCCAGUUCUUCAUCAAUGGUAUAAGAUGGGAUAAUUGCUGUUAAAAAUCCACAAGCUGUACUAUCUGCAAAUAUUAUGGUGGACAACAAAAAGCUUUAAAUGGAAUGAAAUUUGCAGGAAAAGACUCAGAAAGACCAUUGAGGACUGUACUUAAUAGCUGUUACUGUGGUCGCAGUCCUUCAUCACUAAUAUCUCUGCAUUUUCUUAACAAUGGAUAUCCCCAACAGUUGCUCCUACUCCUCACUUUCCUCUUUCACUCAACAUAAAGCAGACUCGAUACUCCUCAAUGCCUCACCAAGGUUCGUUAGCUUCAUUAAUAGUGUUAUUGUUUCAAUAAAUUUGUUUACUGGUUUUUAUCCUCUUCUUAACUAUUUAAGUAUAUCAGGCGUCAUAUUAGUGUUAUUGAUUUUUUGUAAAAUUUUGAUAAUCUGGA